ACCAGGGUCCUGUACUGCUGAUCCGGAGAACCAAGGAUGAGAUCAUCACCACCACGUGAGUGCGUUGGAACCUCGGCCCUCAGGAAUCCCAGAGAUGGCCAGGAACUUGCCCCUCCCACCUCUGCCCACCAGAAACCCGGGUAUCUAGACCCUUCCUCCUAACCUCCAGCCCCUCCAGGGUACAUUCUUCUCACCCCCAGGGUUCCUGAGGACAUCAUGUCCAACCGAGGCAAUGACCUCCUGCUGAAGCUCCUGCAGCAUCGGUAUCCCCGGGUGAUGGCAGAGGAGGGUCUUCGAGUGGUGAGGCAGUGGUUGGAGGCCUCCUCACAGCUGGAGGAAGCCUCAAUUUAUAGCCAAUGGGAGGUGGAAGAGGACUGGUGUCUGUCUGUCCUCCGCUCCUACCAGGCAGAACACGGGCCCGACUUCCCCUGGAGCGUGGGUAAGGAGCUCCUGGGGCAGGAGAGGGGGUGGGAAGGGCCUAGGAAGGGGAUGAAUACCCAGAUGUG
rnacentral:sRNA from 1 species